UUGCACAAUGGUCCGAGGACCAACAUUAAGUGGAAAAAAUUAAUAACUCAAAAACCAUCCAAGAUAGAGUCUUCAUGUCUUUUAGACAUUUGCUCGUGAGUCCAAGCCGCGUUAUAUGCAAAAGUGUCCUAAACGCCAAAUCUUAAAAUACUUCAUAUUUCAGCACCUUACUUUUUUAUUUCAAAAGAUAUCGAAAUAAAAUGUUCUGCAAAGUUGAAGAAGGUAAAAACCCCGACAACUUUCUCGAAGAGCAGUUUUUUCUAUCUCUUCAAUCUGAGGAGAUAUAACUUAUUGAAGAAAUAAAAAGUCCGAAAUCGGUUUUUUUGUCAUAUGUCAAAAACUAUCAUUUUUUCAAGCCUACUAUGUUCAGAGCAAUUGUACAUAUUGCCAAAAUACACAUUUCGUCAGAAGACAUCAAAGCUGUACGAUGUUUCUAUCAAAAGAUAUAAGUAUUUUUGUACUUUUUUAAGCCAAUUUUUCUAGCGUAACAUUUGAAAAAGGCGCAAGUGAAUCUUUAAUUUUCUCCCACCACCGGAUCUAGUAUGACAAAAACUGCAUUUUAACAAAUUUUGGAGAGGGUGUUUUUUUGUUUUGCGUUUUAAAUGUGAUUUGACUAUGACCGUAUUUUAGGCAUCAAAUUCACGAAAAAUGACAUCCAUAAUGUCCGAGUUCAACAUCUACUCGUGUUUCAAGAUCACUUAUCUUAAACAUUCGAGUAGCGAUGAACCCAAUGUUGUCUUUUUUGUUUUGUUUUGUUCCUUUGUGUAAGUGAGCAAAAAUAUAAAACAAAUUCCCUAUAGUUUUUCGAUUUCUUAAUUCAUCAGAUAUAUGCAUCUGGUGAUCGAAUGGGUGACAAAACGUCGAAAGACAAAACGUCGAAUGCCAAAACGUCGAAAGGACAAAACGUCGAAGGGACAAAACGUCGAAAGGACAAAACGUCGAAAAGUGUGUAACUGUUCUCAGUUCAGUGUAGAUUUUUUUUUUGAGAUUUGUGUGGAUCGAUUUAAUCCUGCUGAUAGCCUGAGAGGGGUGGCAAUACGGUAGAUCCAUCAAGAUAGCAGGAUGACGAACUAAUUAACGGGGACACACUCAUUAUGUUUCAUUAAAUCGGGUUACUGCCCAAGCGCUGAAGGUCAAUGAUUCAUUUUGCACUCUAUGAUGCUUCAGACCCGAGUUGAAACCACCAGCUGUGUAAAGAUUAUUGUGUGAAUACUUGGCAUUGUUGUGCUAGUACCAUAUUCUGGAAUACCGGAUGAAUUGCGGAGAAGGACAGCCGUAACCAAACCAGACGCCCUUGAAGGAGUAAUGCGCCCGAUGAUCCCCAUCGCCACCCUAAAGCCACCCUGAAGGAUGUUAUGGCGUAAUGCUGAAAAUUUGUGGAAGGUGCCACUAGCAUUGUGCCACUCGCAGUGUUACAUUUGAACGCGAUCAAUUUGCG